UAAGCGCCGCCCGCUCGGCUCUUCUUCUCGCUCGUUCGCUCAGAUCCGGAAGCUUUGGGGAAGGAGCUGUGCGUCGUGCACGGGAUCGGUAUCGCGCAGUGGCAGCUGGCCGGGUGACUACGACGGGAGCGGGAUGGGCCUCCUCGACAAGCUGUGGGACGACACCGUCGCGGGGCCCCGCCCGGACACCGGCCUCGGCCGCCUCCGCAAGCAGCCCGUGCGCCCCGCCGCCGUGAAGAUCAAUGAUCCGGCCGGGGACGCGGCGGCCUUCGUCCCGCCGUCGCCGGCGUCGGGCAGCGAGGAGACGCCGGUCAAGGUGACACGCAGCAUCAUGAUCAAGCGCCCCGCGGGGUACCCGUCGUCGCCGAGGAGCGCGGCCAGCACGCCGCCGGCCUCGCCGCUUGGGACCACCCCGCCCAUCUCGCCGUUCGCCGGCGCCGGUGGUCGCUUCAGAAGGAAAUCAUCGUCUGAUGCUUAUGAGAGGGCAUCCCCACCAGGGACGACCAGCCCCACUCCUCCCUUCGAAGUGUGAGCACGCAACAUGCUCACACACCUUUUUGCUCGUUGACAAGCAUCUACUUCACCAAAGGUGUAGGGGAGGAGGAGAGAGGACAUCAAGAGGGGAACAGGAAUAAACCACGGGCCGUCUUACCUCUACUGUGAUAUAUUGUAGAUGCUGCUAUGCUAGUGUUUUUGCAUCCACAGUGUGGCUUAGUUUGUUGAAUAUGUUGAAAGCUCUUUGUGGUGUGCCGUGUCAAUAAGCUGCUGAAGUGUGCAUGUGGCAGCAGGGCUGCGUGGAGCUUUGCCCUUGCUGCGUUGUGUUUGUUCCCUCUACCUGCUGCGUGUCAAAUGGAUAGGGUCUUGCCUGUAAUGUUAGCGGGGUUUGAGGUGGAGUGCAUGUAAUGUAAUCCUUUUUGAUGUGUGGUAUCUUGUAAACUGAAGGUGUUUGCUUGAACUCACUGUGAAUCCGCGAUGCUAUGUGAUGGAUGCUGUGCAGCACAUUCGUAGAUUGAACAUCGACCGCAUUGACUGUUCAGCAUCUCGAGUCGCAAAACAGGUCUGACCGUAGCAGGUUCAGUUCGCAUUUUGUUGCUGGACGUCCUGCUCCAACUUUGUUUAGCUGUCUGCAGACCAUAACAUCACGGCGUUUCGAGAUGCGCAAAUGCACAACCGUUCAGUUCUAAUAAGCUUUAGGGAUUUCAGAUUUUCAGGUGUAGCAAAAGGAGCAGGAAAAGUGGAAAACGCAAGCGCGGAGUUCGCGCAAAUCCAGCCGUCCGUCCAGGCAUCCAGCUGGCACCUCUCCAGAUCGAUCAAUCCCUCGCAGGUCGCAGUCGCACCGCCACCGGCGACCGCCCGCCGGACCAAGCGGAGCAGCAUGCCGCCGUCGGCGGUGCCGAAUGAUCUCAUCGAGGAGAUCCUCCUCCGCUUCCCCCCGGAAGAGCCCGAGCCCCUCGUCCGCGCCGCCCUCGUCUGCAAACCCUGGUUCCGCCUCAUCUCCGACCCCCGCUUCCGCCGCAGGUUUCGGGAGCUCGACCGCGCGGCCCCGAUGCUGGGGUUCUUCUGCACCAACCGAUGGACCUCUCGCUUCGUCCCCACCUCCUCUGUCCCUCUGCCCCAUGCCAUCCCCGGGCCCGGCAAUUGGCGCGCCGUCGACGCGCGCCACGGCCGCGUGCUUCUCGACACCAGGAGAUGCAUGAGGAACGGCCUCGUCGUCUGGGACCCCGUCACGGGGGAGCAGCACCGGCUUCCCAAGCUGCCGGAGCACGUGUACCCGCCCCAGUACCCGUUGCCGUUGGGUUUCUACUGGACCGCGGCGGUGCUCUGUGCCGCGGUGGAAGGAGGCUGCGACCACCUCGACUGCCACCGCAGCCCGUUCCUCGUGGUUUUCGUGUUGCACCGGCCCAAGGGAAUGGGAGGCGCUCGCCUGCGUCUACUCGUCGGAGACAGGCGUAUGGAGCGGACCAGCCUCUGCUCAGCUCCGCGGUGCCCGCAUCCACCUGGAUGUGCCUGGUGCCGUUGUGGGGAAUGCACUCCGCUUCAUAUCUGGUAAAUGGGGGAGGAGCAAGAAUAUCCUGAAACAUGUUUUGGGCACGCAGGAAAUAUCUCUGAUUCACUUGCCACACAAACCCUAUAAUCGCAGAGCGCUCAUGACAAUGGCGGAUGGUAGUCUGGGAUUUGCCGCUGUGGAUGGGUCUAAACUUUGCCUGUGGUCGAUGGUGUCUGGUACCAAUGCAAGCUGGGCACUAAGCCACACCAUUGAUCUCAAGACAAUUGGUACCUUGCCGGCAUCGAUUGCUACAAUUUGUUGUAUGGAUGGCAUGGCUGCCAUUUUGAUGGGGACAAAGGAUCGGGAAUUUUUUGUUGUCAAUCUGAAGUCUCGACGGAUUAGGAAGAUACCUAAGGGCCGUAUUGCUUACCCUGUAGUUCCCUACAUGAGCUUCUACACUCCAGCACUUGGGGCAGCCUCUACAAGUGAGGGGCCAAGAGAAGGUUCUUCAAGUGCAUGAAGGACUUAAUGGUGCAAGGUCUUCUAAAUCAAGAAUGAAGUGUCCUGUGGUGAUCGUAGAGAGGAAUAGUGAGUUAUUUUGGCUGCAUAACUCUUUAGGACCUGCGAUUUUCUGCUGGGCCUGUUCUGCUGAUCUUCAUGCUUUGGCAUCUACUUCAUCUAGGAGAGAAGACAUCAAAAGGGACAUGGAGAGAAGUUGUGGGUUGUCUUGCCUUACCUCUCUACUGUUAUAUCAUAUGGAUGCUAUUGUGUAUAGUUUUCCAUCUACUCUUGAAGGCAGCUCUAGGCUGCGGGGAUCUUGUUGCUGCAUCCUGACUAGUUUGUUACUUUGUCUCCUCUACUGCUAUGGUAAAUCAGCGGUGUGCAGAGCGUGUUUUGUUUAGUGGGGAUCCGCCUAUUAUUUUGAUUGAUGCAUAUAAUUAGGUGCAGGCGUGUUAACCUUUUGAUAAUGUAUAUGUGUGACGCUUCUAUUACAUGUGCAUUGUGCACCAUUUUC